rnacentral:rRNA from 1 species
CGACCGGCGCACGGGUGAGUAACACGUAUGCAACCUGGCCGUCACAGGUGGAUAACCGGAAGAAAUUCCGACUAAUACAGCAUAACACUCCUGAGGGACAUCCUUCGGGAGUCAAAGGAGGCAACUCCGGUGACGGAUGGGCAUGCGGCGCAUUAGGUAGUUGGUAGGGUAACGGCCUACCAAGCCGACGAUGCGUAGGGGUUCUGAGAGGAAGGCCCCCCACACUGGGACUGAGACACGGCCCAGACUCCUACGGGAGGCAGCAG